rnacentral:lncRNA from 1 species
CGCCGCCGAGAUGGACUCGAGCUCGCUCAUCGACCUCAUCACCACGACUCCGGUUUCGCUGCUGGGCACGCCGGUGGCUCCGCCUCCCUCUGCUGGAUCCAGGUGCAGUGGCAGGCUUUCCAAGAAGAAUGUCGUCUUCCCGGUGCCUGUGGCAAAGCGCGCUGAACCAAGCUUCGCCUUGCGUUCGGUGAUGACACCGAUGAUGUUUCAGAUGCUGCUGCCAAGGUUCGCUCCUACCUGG